UACGAAGGGGACUAGCGUUGUUCGGAAUUACUGGGCGUAAAGCGCACGUAGGCGGAUUUGUAAGUCAGGGGUGAAAUCCCGGGGCUCAACCUCGGAACUGCCCUUGAUACUGCAAAUCUCGAGUCCGAUAGAGGUGGGUGGAAUUCCUAGUGUAGAGGUGAAAUUCGUAGAUAUUAGGAAGAACACCGGUGGCGAAGGCGGCCCACUGGAUCGGUACUGA
rnacentral:rRNA from 1 species